AAUGGUUUUUUGUUUAAAUGUUUUUUCGCCUAAGGAUGGGUCUGCGGCCGAUUAGGUAGUUGGUUAGGUAAUGGCUUACCAAGCCGUUGAUCGGUACGGGUUGUGAGAGCAAGAGCCCGGAGGUGGAACCUGAGACAAGGUUCCAGGCCCUACGGGGUGCAGCAGGCGCGAAACCUCCGCAAUGUGAGAAAUCGCGACGGGGGGAUCCCAAGUGCCAUUCUUAACGGGAUGGCUUUUCAUUAGUGUAAAGAGCUUUUGGAAUAAGAGCUGGGCAAGACCGGUGCCAGCCGCCGCGGUAACACCGGCAGCUCUAGUGGUAACAAUUUUUAUUGGGCCUAAAGCGUCCGUAGCCGGUUUAAUAAGUCUCUGGUGAAAUCCUGUAGCUUAACUGUGGGAAUUGCUGGAGAUACUAUUAGACUUGAGACCGGGAGAGGUUAGAGGUACUCCCAGGGUAGAGGUGAAAUUCUGUAAUCCUGGGAGGACCGCCUGUUGCGAAGGCGUCUAACUGGAACGGUUCUGACGGUGAGGGACGAAAGUUAGGGGCGCGAACCGGAUUAGAUACCCGGGUAGUCCUAACUGUAAACGAUGCGGACUUGGUGUUGGGGUGGCUUUGAGCUGCUCCAGUGCCGAAGGGAAGCUGUUAAGUCCGCCGCCUGGGAAGUACGGUCGCAAGACUGAAACUUAA
rnacentral:rRNA from 1 species